rnacentral:rRNA from 1 species
UGGGGAAUAUUGCACAAUGGGCGCAAGCCUGAUGCAGCCAUGCCGCGUGUAUGAAGAAGGCCUUCGGGUUGUAAAGUACUUUCAGCGGGGAGGAAGGGAGUAAAGUUAAUACCUUUGCUCAUUGACGUUACCCGCAGAAGAAGCACCGGCUAACUCCGUGCCAGCAGCCGCGGUAAUACGGAGGGUGCAAGCGUUAAUCGGAAUUACUGGGCGUAAAGCGCACGCAGGCGGUUUGUUAAGUCAGAUGUGAAAUCCCCGGGCUCAACCUGGGAACUGCAUCUGAUACUGGCAGGCUAGAGUCUUGUAGAGGGGGGUAGAAUUCCAGGUGUAGCGGUGAAAUGCGUAGAGAUCUGGAGGAAUACCGGUGGCGAAGGCGGCCCCCUGGACGAAGACUGACGCUCAGGUGCGAAAGCGUGGGGAGCAAACAGG